rnacentral:rRNA from 1 species
CACGUGGGGAACCUGCCCCAUAGUCUGGGAUACCACUUGGAAACAGGUGCUAAUACCGGAUAAGAAAGCAGAUCGCAUGAUCAGCUUUUAAAAGGCGGCGUAAGCUGUCGCUAUGGGAUGGCCCCGCGGUGCAUUAGCUAGUUGGUAAGGUAAAGGCUUACCAAGGCGAUGAUGCAUAGCCGAGUUGAGAGACUGAUCGGCCACAUUGGGACUGAGACACGGCCAAACUCCUACGGGAGGCAGCAGUG